rnacentral:rRNA from 1 species
AACGAACGCUGGCGGCAGGCUUAACACAUGCAAGUCGAGCGCCCCGCCAGGGGAGCGGCAGACGGGUGAGUACCGCGUGGGAACGUACCUUUUGGUUCGGAACAACUCCGGGAAACUGGAGCUAAUACCGGAUAAGCCCUAACGGGGAAAGAUUUAUCGCCGAAAGAUCGGCCCGCGUCUGAUUAGCUAGUUGGUGAGGUAACGGCUCACCAAGGCGACGAUCAGUAGCUGGUCUGAGAGGAUGAUCAGCCACACUGGGACUGAGACACGGCCCAGACUCCUACGGGAAGCAGCAGUGGGGAAUAUUGGACAAUGGGCGCAAGCCUGAUCCAGCCAUGCCGCGUGAGUGAUGAAGGCCUUAGGGUUGUAAAGCUCUUUUGUCCGGGAAGAUAAUGACUGUACCGGAAGAAUAAGCCCCGGCUAACUUCGUG